GCCGGGCCCGUGGCUGGUGCCUGUGAUCCCAGCGGCGGGGGAGGCUGAGGCCGGCGGAUCGCUUGAGCUCAGGAGUUCUGGGCUGCAGCGGGCUGUGCCGAGCGGGUGUCCGCACUGAGUUCGGCAUCGAUAUGGGGAUGCCGGGGAAGCUCGGGGUCCCCAGGUUGCCUAAGGAGGGGUGAACCGGCCCAGGUCGGAAACGGAGCAGGUCAAAGCUCCCGUGCCGAUCAGUAGUGGGAUCGCGCCUGUGAAUGGCCCCUGCAGCGUAGCCUGGGCGAGACAGCGAGACCCGGUCUCUU
rnacentral:SRP_RNA from 1 species